rnacentral:SRP_RNA from 1 species
GCCGGGCGUGGUGGCGGGCGCCUGUAAUCCCAGCUACUUGGGAGGCUGAGGCAGGAGAAUCGCUUGAACCCGGGAGGCAGAGGUUGCAGUGAGCCGAGGUCGCCCCACUGCACUCCAGCCUGGGCAACAAAAGUGAAACUCUGCCUCAA